UAGAGAAACAUAAUCAAACAGAAAAAUUCGCAUAUUGUAUUGUAUUGUUUGUUUUGUGCUUUUGUUAAAAACAAUGUCUAAGAGAAUACAUCGAGUGUGUGCGGUGCAAAAUUGUUUUCACAAUGAUUCACAGUGAUAAUAUAUCAUUUUUUCGCGCUUUCCAAAAGAGAAAGAAAGCGGUGGUUUCUAAUAUUAUUGAUACGCUACUUGCCGCCCGAAGACAUGGCGGAUCGGCUGAAAAAGAUCAAAGGUGCCGACGCUCUUUGUCCCUACUGUAUAUCAUUAUACUGUGACACAACCUUGCCGUUUUGCUCCGUACGGCGUCGUACUAGUGCUUUCCGUUUUUGAUGGAGCAGCUCCCUCUCGGUUCAGUUUUAAUCAUGGGUUCAACAGAUUCUGGAAACCGGAUCUCAAUUAUUUAUUUUUUGUACAUGACUAACUAUCGUUUUCACAUUACAAUAAUUUAAGAGCACUUUGCGAUUCGUCUUACUCUAUUAUUCUUUCUAUCUCUCUCUAGAGUGAGAUUUAUCGAUGAGCGAUACGAUCGCAUGCCCCGAGCGGCAAUUUGAAAACUGACAAUCCUUGAUCAGUCGGAAUUAUAUCUCAAUUUACAUGAGCGAUUCCAAUUCGAAUCGACUCUCGCACGGACUCGAAAGUCCAAGUUUUUAAAAUUUUAAAAGCGUUAUUGUUAGACAAAUCCUCGUAACGCGCAAUGAGAUUAACAUGUACACGUGACAUUUGCGUAUGACAUAUUCCUACGUAUCGUGGGCUUAUUUUAUUAUAAAACAAAUAUAUCACAAAUAUAAAAAACCGCGUUCCUUAUGAUCCUACAUAUAAAACUAAUUCUGACACACGAUCAAUAUCAAGCGCAA